CCUGUGAACAUACCUUUUGUUGCCUCGGCGGGAUCGCCCCGGCGCCCGCCGCAGGACCCUAAACUCUUGUUUUCUAUAUGAAUCUUCUGAGUGACACAAGCAAAUAAAUUAAAACUUUCAACAACGGAUCUCUUGGUUCUGGCAUCGAUGAAGAACGCAGCGAAAUGCGAUAAGUAAUGUGAAUUGCAGAAUUCAGUGAAUCAUCGAAUCUUUGAACGCACAUUGCGCCCGGCAGUAUUCUGCCGGGCAUGCCUGUUCGAGCGUCAUUUCAACCCUCAAGCCCCCGGGCUUGGUGUUGGAGAUCGGCCCGCCCCCGUGGCAGGCCGGCUCCGAAAUCUAGUGGCGGUCCCGCUGUAACUUCCUCUGCGUAGUAGCAAUAUCUCGCACCGGAAAGCGACGGAGCCUUGCCGUAAAACCCCCAACUUCUGAAGGUUGACCUCGGAUCAGGUAGGAAUACCCGCUGAACUUAAGCAUAUCAAUA
rnacentral:rRNA from 1 species